CCUANGGGUGGCAGCAGUGGGGAAUAUUGGACAAUGGGCGAAAGCCUGAUCCAGCAAUGCCGCGUGAGUGAUGAAGGCCUUAGGGUUGUAAAGCUCUUUUACCCGGGAUGAUAAUGACAGUACCGGGAGAAUAAGCCCCGGCUAACUCCGUGCCAGCAGCCGCGGUAAUACGGAGGGGGCUAGCGUUGUUCGGAAUUACUGGGCGUAAAGCGUACGUAGGCGGCUUUGUAAGUUAGAGGUGAAAGCCCGGAGCUCAACUCCGGAAUUGCCUUUAAGACUGCAUCGCUUGAAUCACGGAGAGGUGAGUGGAAUUCCGAGUGUAGAGGUGAAAUUCGUAGAUAUUCGGAAGAACACCAGUGGCGAAGGCGACUCACUGGACAUGUAUUGACGCUGAGGUACGAAAGCGUGGGGAGCAAACAGGAUUAGAUACCCCANUANUC
rnacentral:rRNA from 1 species